rnacentral:rRNA from 1 species
UUCAAGUGAAGAGUUUGAUCCUGGCUCAGAUUGAACGCUGGCGGCGUGCCUAACACAUGCAAGUCGAGCGGUAACAGGUGUAGCAAUACAUGCUGACGAGCGGCGAACGGGUGAGUAAUGCUUCGGAAUCUGCCCAAUGGUGGG